rnacentral:rRNA from 1 species
UACGAAGGGGGCUAGCGUUGCUCGGAAUCACUGGGCGUAAAGCGCACGUAGGCGGACUCUUAAGUCGGUGGUGAAAUCCUGGAGCUCAACUCCAGAACUGCCUUCGAUAAUGAGAGUCUCGAGUCCGAGAGAGGUGAGUGGAACUGCGAGUGUAGAGGUGAAAUUCGUAGAUAUUCGCAAGAACACCAGUGGCGAAGGCGGCUCGCUGGCCCGGUACUGACGCUGAGGCGCGAAAGCUAGGGGAGCAAACGGG